rnacentral:rRNA from 1 species
AAUAUUGCGCAAUGGAGGGAACUCUGACGCAGCGACGACGCGUGAGCGAUGAAGGUCUUCGGAACNUCACGCUCCGUCCUUGGGGANGAAGUUCUUCGGACUUGACGGUACCUCAGGAGGAAGCCCCGGCUAACUACGUGCCAGCAGCCGUGGUAAUACGAAGGGGGCAAGCGUUGUCCGGAAUUAUUGGGCGUAAAGGGUGCGUAGGCGGCCUUUUAAGUCAGAUGUGAAAGCCCACGGCUGAACCGUGAGACUGCAUUUGAAACUGGAGGGCUUGAGUAUCGGAGAGGGUAGUGGAAUUACCAGUGUAGCGGUGGAAUGCGUAGAUAUUGGGAGGAACACCAGUGGCGAAGGCGACUACCUGGACGAAAACUGACGCUGAGGCACGAAAGCUAGGGGAGCAAAC